rnacentral:rRNA from 1 species
CGGUGGAGUAUGUGGUUUAAUUCGAUGCAACGCGAAGAACCUACCUGGUCUUGACAUCCCGGAGACCCUUAGGAAACGUAGGGGUGCUUCCAUCUGGAAGAAAUCUGGAGACAGGGUGCUGCAUGGCUGUCGUCAGCUCGUGUCGUGAGAUGUUGGGUUAAGUCCCGCAACGAGCGCAACCCUUGCCUUUAGUUGCCAGCAGUUCGGCUGGGCACUCUAAAGGGACUGCCGGUGUUAAACCGGAGGAAGGUGGGGAUGACGUCAAGUCCUCAUGGCCUUUAUGACCAGGGCUACACACGUACUACAAUGGCCGAUACAAAGGGCAGCGACACUGCGAGGUGAAGCCAAUCCCGUAAAAUCGGUCUCAGUCCGGAUUGGAGUCUGCAACUCGACUCCAUGAAGUUGGAAUCGCUAGUAAUCGUGGAUCAGCAUGCCACGGUGAAUACGUUCCCGGGCCUU